UGUGAAGGGACUGAUGGUGACAUCUUGGGGGGUCUGCAAUGGACCAUAUGGGCUUCGGCUGGAGAUAUCGGGACAGCGCAUACUUGGCUGCGCCAGAGGCACAGGGCUGGGACAACCCCCCCGGACGGGCCCGAGGUCAGCUGCCCCAAGCUUUGUGCUCCCCCGACUACGUCCUCAGAUCAGAAGUGGCGACCCACUGAAUUUAGGCAUAUUAUUAAGAAACUAACCAGGAUUCCCUCAGUAACGGCCAGUGAAGAGGGAAGAGCCCAGCGCUGUAUCCCAGUUCAGCGGCAGGCAUUGGAAAUGUGUCAUACAGAAGACAGACUCCCCGGCAUCUCUCAGGGUGCUCAAGUCCGUCUGAUCGGGUCUCACCCUGCGGACGGUGUUAGGCCAGUAGUGGCCUCUGGCAUGCUGGGAUCGGGUCUUCUUGGAGUCAGGUUGUUUGGGAAUGCAGCCCAAAGCUUUUGGUAAACUCCAUCUAAGGCUAAAUACAGGUGCGAGACCGAUGGCCAACAAGUACUGUAAGGGAAAGUUGAAAAGAACUUUGAAGAGAAAGUUCAAGAGGGCGUGAAACCAUCAAGAGGAAAACUGGAGGGAAGUGGCGCAUGAGCGUGUGUGAUAGGACCCAAAAGAUGCCGAACCAGGCCUGGUGGAGGUCCGAAGCGGUCCUGAUUUGUGAAUCGGUCAUCCAACCUGGGUAUAGGGCAAAAGACUAAUCAAACCAUCUAGUAGCUCGUUCCCUCUGAAGUUUCCCUCCGGAUAGCUGGCGCACGGAUACCCCAGUUUUAUCUGUUAAAGUAAAUGAUUAGAGGUCUUGGGGCCACAAUUAUCUCAACCUAUUCUCAAACUUUAAAUGGGUAAGAAGCCCAGCUCGCUGGCGUGGAGCCGGGCAUUCAAUGCAAGUGCCAAGUGGGCCUCUUUUGGUAAGCAGAACUGACACUGUGGGAUGAACCGAACGCUGGGUUAAGGCACCCGAUGCCGAUGCUCAUCAGACUUCAGAAAAGGUGUUGGUUGAUAUAGACAGCAGGACGGUGGCCAUGGAAGUCGGAAUCCGCUAAGGAGUGUGAAACAACUAACCUGCCGGAGCGUCUGCCCCAUACCAGGCUGGCAUUGAGAGCCAUGGGGGCUAAGCCGCGAUAAGUAGGAAGGCCGCUGCAGUGCACACGGAAGCCUGGGGUGAGUGCCAGGGUGGAGCCGCUGCAGGUGCAGAUCUUGGUGCUAGUAGCAAAUAUUCAAAUAAGAACUUUGAAGGCCGAAGUGUAGAAGGGUUCCAUGUGAACAGCAGUUGAACAUGGGUCAGUCGGUCCAAAGAAAUGGUCGAGCGCCGUUCGGAAGGGACGGGAGAUGGCCUCCUUUGCCCUCAGCUGAUCGAAAGGGAGUUGUGUUCAGAUCCCAAAACAUUGAGUGGCAGAGACAGACGCCCUCGCGGCAUCUAGUGCGAUAACGCAAACGAUCCCAGAGAAGCUGGCGGGAUCCCCAGGGAGAGUCCUGUUUUCUUUGUGAAGGGCUGGGCACCCUGGAAUGGGUUCGCCCAGAGAGAGGGGCCCGAGCCUUGGAAAGCGUUGCAGUUCCGGCGGUGUUCGGUGAGUUCUCGCUGUUCCUUGAAAAUCUGGGUGAGAUGGUGUAAAUAUUGCGCCAAGCCGCACCCAUGUCCGCAGCAGUUCUCCAAGGGGAACAGCCUCUGGCAUGUUGGAACAAUGUAGGUAUGGGACGUUGGCAAGUCAGAUAUGUAACUUCGGGAAGAGCUGGGUCGGUUGGGCUGGGGUGCGAAACAGAGCUGGCCAAGUGGUGCAGCUGGACGAAGUAUCUCCUCCCCGGGGGCGGCGCCGACUCUGAAUGUGAGCCAGGCCCUUCCAGUGGAUCACCCUACCUGCAGUGGUCACAUCUCUCGGUUCCCCUCCAGGGGUCCGGGGACGGCAUUCUGCCUCGGCCGAUGCCUAGCAGCUGACCUAGAACUGGUGCGGACCAGAGGGAAUCUGACUGAUACAUUAAAACACAGCAUUGCAUACGGCCCACAGUGGGUGUUGACACGAUUUCUGCCCAGUGCUCUAAAUUUCAAAGGGAAGAAAUUCAAUGAGGCGCGGGUAAAUGGCAAGAGUAACUAUGAUUCUCUUAAGGUAGCCAAAUGCCUCGUCGUCUAAUUAGCGACACGCAUGGAUGGAUGAACGAGAUUCCCACUGCCCCUACCUACUAUCUAGCGAAACCACAACCAAGAGCACGGACGUGGCAGAAUCAGCGGAAACAAAAGACCCCGUUGAGAGUCACUCUUGUCUGGCACUGUGAAGAGACAUGAGAGGUGUAGUAUAAGUGGGAGGCCCUCAGGCCACAGUGAAAUACCCCUACUCUUAUUGUGUUUUCACUUACCCGGUGACGGAGCCCUGUGGGACUCAUGCUUCUGGCUCCAAGCGCCCGGCGCCCGCUGGGCGCAAACUGCUCUGGGGACAGUAGCAGGUAGGGAGUUUAACUGGAGCGGUACACCUGGCAAACAAUAACUCAGGUGUCCUAAAGCGAGUUCAGGGAGGACAGAAAUCUCCCCUGGAGCAGAAGGGCAAAAGCUUGCUUGAUCUCGAUUUUCAGUAUGAAUACAGACUAUGAAAGCAUGGCCUCAGGAUCCUUCUGACUUUUUGGGUUUCAAGCAGGAGGUGUCAGAAAGGUUACCAGAGGGAUAACUGGCUUGUGGUGGUGAAGCGUUCAUAGCGAUGUCGCUUUUUGAUCCUUUGUUUUCGGCUCUCCCUAUCAUUGUGAAGAAGAAUUCACCAAGCGUUGGAUUGUUCACCCCUUAAUAAGGAACAUGAGCUGGAUUUAGACAGUCGUGAGACAGGUUCGUUUUACCUGACAGAUGAUGUGUUGUUGCAAGAGUAAUCCUGCUCAGUAUGAGAGGAACUGCAGAUUCAGACAAUUGGUGUAUGUGCUUGGCUGAGGAGCCAAUGGGGCGAAGCUACCAUCUGUGGGAUUAUGACUGAACGCCUCAAAGUCAGAAUCCCCCCAAGCCGUAAUGGUACUGCAGCGCUGUGAAGCCUCGGUUGGCCUAGGAUAGCCGGCCUCUGGGCCGGUGUGUAGAGCCGCUCGCCUCGGGGCUAGAGUGUGAACAGAAGGGGGCCACCUCUUUGGCUCGUAGUGCACCGCAU
rnacentral:rRNA from 1 species